CUCUCUCUCUCUCUCUCUGUCAUCGCAUAAAUCUCGUGGUUGAAUCAUUCGUUCGUUGUUUAUUUCGUCCUCCCUCCCGGUCUAACCUUCAGCUUCAAUUCGAACCCAAAGAUGCAGAGCUCGAAGGCCACCACUGGCGGCAGGCUCGACCAGCACCACCAACCCCAGACCAUACAGUCGUGGUCUCUCAAGCCCCGCAGCUGGAAAGCUCGCGACAAUCGAGCAGUACAGGCAGGGGUCGAGCACCCAGAGCCUUCUACUUCUCGUUGUCAGAGCCCUGUUGACACGACCACUAUUCCGGUCGAUAAUUCAAGGUCCAGAGCCUCCAGAGAUAACCGGAAACGCCGCCCAAUGCCGCGCGACCGCCGCACCUAUGUCGUCAGGCCUCAGAGCAGGGGCCCCACGUCUGAGUCUUUGCUGAAUCCUGAACCGCGUCCUCCGAAUGACGUCGAGAAUGUGAACGAUAAAGGAGAAACCUUGGCAGUCAACGAGGAGCCGGAAGAAGAAGGGCGUGAAGCUCGGAGCUGUGAGGUGAAUACAGAGGUGGCUGAUGUGGCCUUGCGAUUGGCGGAGCUACAGACGAGUGCGGAGGCGCCGGAGCUGGAGGAGAAGCAGCUGAGUUCCAAUGAUCAGCACCAGGAGGAUGAGUUGCUUGCAGUGGAGUCCAUAUAUGGAGACAGUGCCAUCAUUCUUGACAGAAGAGGCGGCUUACGGUCCAUUCAGAUUCAUAUUCACAUUGAAACUGAGGGGGCAUUCACCAUAACAGCAAAGUUGGAUUCACCCAAUCACGUCGACAGCACAGGAAACAAUGUGGAUGAUGGUUUCUCUUACUCCUUUGAAGUCCAGUAUCUUCCACCAAUUGUCUUGACACUUUUACUACCGAAGUCAUAUCCAAGUCAUCUCCCUCCGCAUUUUACCAUCUCUGCCCAAUGGUUGGAUCCUGUCAAGAUCUCCCAUUUAUGCUCCAUGCUUGAUUCGUUAUGGAUGGAACAACCGGGGCAAGAAGUUAUAUACCAAUGGGCAGACUGGUUGCAGAGUUCAUCUCUCUCUUAUUUAGGAUUCCAUCAAGAAGUUACUCUAGGUCCUUAUGGGGUAAGCAGUGUCAGUGAUAAGCGUGCAAUUUCCAGAAGUGUCUCUGUCGACGUUGAUGUCCCCUCCAUUAGGAGAUACAAUGAUGAAAAGUGCCAAGAAAAUUUCUUGAAAAGCCUGCACGAAUGCUGCAUCUGUUUCAGUGAGUAUGCAGGUACUGAUUUCAUAAGACUGCCAUGCCUGCAUUUCUUCUGCGGGAAAUGCAUCAAGACUUAUUCCAACCUGCAUGUCAAGGAAGGCACUGUGAACAUGCUUAAAUGUCCCGAGGUCAAAUGCGGGGGGAUGGUCCCACCUGGCCUGUUGAAACAGCUGCUGGAUAAUGAAGCUUACGAGCACUGGGAAUCUCUAACGCUUCAGAAGACCCUAGACUCAAUGUCCGACGUAGUAUCCUGCCCCAGAUGUGAAACGCCAUGCAUAGAGGACCCUGACCAACAUGCUGUUUGCUCUAAGUGCUUCUUUAGCUUUUGCACGCUUUGCAGGGAUCGGCGUCACGUUGGUGUAGAAUGUAUGACACCCGAGGUCAGGCUUCAGAUCUUACAGGAGCGCCAGAAUUCGACGCAACUGAAGGAGAAUCAGAAGCUAAGAGAAAGGGAAUUGAUCAACGAACUCUUAAGUCUCAAAGAAGUUUUCCGUGAUGCUAAGCAAUGUCCAUCUUGCAAGAUCGCAAUCUCAAGAACUGAAGGCUGCAACAAGAUGGUGUGCAAGAAUUGUGGCCAUUACUUUUGCUACCGCUGUAACAAAGAAAUCAGUGGAUAUGACCAUUUCAGGGAUGGAGAAUGUGAGUUGUUCCCAGUGGAGCAGGUCCUAAACUGGGAGGAUAUGAUGAGGAAUCCUCGGCAAAUAUUGGGAGAGAUGCAGGCCGAUCUCUUUCCUGAUCAUGGUGAACGGUGCCCUAAUUGCCGUCAAUAUAACGCCAAGGUGGGAAAUAACAAUCAUAUAUUCUGCUGGGCUUGUCAAACUCACUUUUGCUACUUAUGCAAGAAGGUCGUGAGACGUGCUUCUCAGCAUUACGGGCCCAAAGGAUGCAAGCAGCACACAACGUGAGGCGAGGAACUCGAAGUUAAAAUAUAUUCAAUCUAUAACCUCUUUCAACAAUCAAAUAGAGCCGUCUAAAGGUUAUUAUUAUCCAUAGAAAAACUGCAAUAAUGAUUAUUACCACAGCUUGCCAUAUCUGUUCCUUUCUUUGCGAAGUGCUUUUAUAUGUGCUUUGCCUUUCUUUGGGCUUAAAGAGUAUAGAAUGCCUAUAGGCUAUAUGUACGUCCAUAAUUUAGCAGGCAAAAGGAUUACUGAGAACCUUCUGAGGACAAUCAUACAAAGUUUUGCUUUGCUGUAAAAGAGAAAAGAGGAAAACCUCAGGGGAGUCUACAGAGGCUGAGACCUGCACCUGAUCAGCUUAAUUUAUUACAUGGAGCCCCACUAUUCUAUAAUGGCAUUAUCUAGCAAGACUUGCCAAAAGCAAGUGGGACAAGGGAAAAGGUAGGAAGGAGCUAUUUUAUUUAUACUUCAAGGGGAUGAUGAUGACUUAAGCUUACUUUUGAUUUUCGAGUUA